rnacentral:rRNA from 1 species
GACGAACGCUGGCGGCGUGCUUAACACAUGCAAGUCGAACGGAAAGGCCCUGCUUUUGUGGGGUGCUCGAGUGGCGAACGGGUGAGUAACACGUGAGUAACCUGCCCUUGACUUUGGGAUAACUUCAGGAAACUGGGGCUAAUACCGGAUAGGAGCUCCUGCUGCAUGGUGGGGGUUGGAAAGUUUCGGCGGUUGGGGAUGGACUCGCGGCUUAUCAGCUUGUUGGUGGGGUAGUGGCUUACCAAGGCUUUGACGGGUAGCCGGCCUGAGAGGGUGACCGGCCACAUUGGGACUGAGAUACGGACCAGACUCCUACGGGAGGCAGCAGUGGGGAAUAUGGCACAAUGGGCGGAAGCCUGAUGCAGCAACGCCGCGUGCGGGAUGACGGCCUUCGGGUUGUAAACCGAUUUCGCAUGUGACGAAGCGUGAGUGACGGUAAUGGGUAAAGAAGCACCGGCUAACUACGUG